UAUGUGAUCGUCUCUCGCAUAUCAAUAAGCGGAGGAAAAGAAACUAACAAGGAUUCCCCUAGUAACGGCGAGUGAAGCGGGAAGAGCUCAAAUUUGAAAUCUUAAAGGGUUUCCCUUUACGAAUUGUAGUUUAAAGAAGUGUUUUCUGUUGAGGUUUUGGUAAAAGUUCUUUGGAAUAGGACAUCAUAGAGGGUGAGAAUCCCGUAUUUGACCUUUACUUUCAACUUUGUGAUACACUUUCAAAGAGUCGGAUUGUUUGGGAAUGCAGUCCAAAAUGGGUGGUAAAUUUCAUCUAAAGCUAAAUAUUGGCGAGAGACCGAUAGCGAACAAGUACCGUGAGGGAAAGAUGAAAAGAACUUUGAAAAGAGAGUUAAACAGUACGUGAAAUUGUCAAAAGGGAAGCGUUUGACACCAGUGUUGUUUUUCUGAAAAUCAAUUAAAGAACUGUUUAUGCUAAGCUUGUUUAGACUUUAUCAGCUAACUGUUUAGUUUUGAGCUUUUCUUUAAUGCACUUUUCAGUUAACAAGUCAACAUCAAUUUCUUUUGCUGUAAAAAAGCUUGAGGAAGGUGGCUUGAGAUUCGUCUUAAGUGUUUAUAGCCUCUUGCCUAUGCAGUCGGAGAGAUUGAGGUCUGCAGCGUAGAUCCUUCGGGGCUAAAUGCAUUUGUGCUAAGUUAUAGCAUUUUAUAGACAACUUGUUGACUAUGAUUUGUCUUGUAGCUUACUCGCUUAUGUUAUUUUACCUACGCUUAGGAUGUUGAGUAGCGACAUACGCAC
rnacentral:rRNA from 1 species